rnacentral:lncRNA from 1 species
GGAGCCCUGGCGCCCUUGUGCGGGUUGUUCCUUCCGACUGGCAUCCUUUCCCGCGGCGGCAGCCGCAGCGCUGGCGCCCUUGCCUCUUCCCAUCUCUGACCAAAGGUGUUGCUGUCAAAGCGGCUUUCCGUGAGCCCCGUCCCACCUCGGGCCCACAGCUCCCCUUGGCUGAGUUUUCUUCAUCCUCCCGUCCGCUCUCUGAUGCUGAUUUGAUUUUUUCUGGCCGUGUCCCUCCUAAAGUCCACGAGAGGAGGGAUUUAUCCGUUUCCACUGCUGGGACGCAGUGCCUCACGCGGUGCUUGGUGCAUGUAGAGCUCAGUAGAUAGACUGUGAAAGGAAUCUAUUAUCUCAGGUAACUUAGAAAAUCCUCAUUUAGAACAUAGUAUUAUGACUUCUUCUUAUAGGUGUGUUUUAUUUUUUAAAUAGGCAAUAUAUUCACAUGGGUCAAAGUUCAGAUGACCUGCCAUGAAAAAUCUCCCAUACUCUGUCCCCUAGUACCCCAUCCAUCCUUAGAAGUAACCAGUGUUGAGUUCCCGUGUGUGUUUCAGAGACAGCCUAUGGUUCUGCACAUAAAAUCGCAUUUAUUUUCCCUCUCUUAAAAAAAAAUGGAAGUUUUAGCAUCUGUGCUGUUUUGCACCUUGUUUCUGUUUUGUUUUAUAAAAUAUGUUUUGGAGAUUAUUCUUUGUCAUUGUGUAAAGAGCUCUUUGUUCUGUUAGUAGCUUCACAGUGUCCUAUUGUGUGGCUGUAUCAUCGUUCCUUCUUUGAUGGACACUGAAAUUGUUUCCAGUCUUUAGCUAUCGCAAACUGUGCUGCAGGAAGUAACCUUGGACAUAGAUCAUUUGGCCAUGUUGCUGGUAUGUCUGAGGAAUAAAUUCUUCUGAAUGGAAUUGCUGGAUCAAAGGAUAUGUGUAUUUGUGAUUUUGAUAGGCACAGAUUAUCUCCCACAGGUCGUACCAAUUUAUGCUUCUGGCCCAGUGCGCUAUUAUUUGAUCUUUGCCAAUUUGACAGAUGAAGAGUGGUAUAAGCAUCGUUUCAUAUAUUCAAGAGCCAUUUGUAUUUUCUAAGGGGGUUGUCCAUGUCCUGUACUCAUUUUUCUACUAGGAUUUGGUCUUUUUUUUUUCUUUUUCUUAUUAUUGUAGAGCUCUCUUUUAUGCAAAUUAGCCCCCCCCCUUUGGCAUAUGGAGGUUCCCAGGCUAGGGGUCCAAUCAGGCCUACACCACAGCCAUCGCAACGCCACAUCUGGCUGCAUCUGCGCUACACGACAGCUCACAGCAACGCAGGAUCCUUAACCCACUGAAGGAGACCAGGGAUCAAACCCACAACCUCAUGGUUCCUCGUCUGAUUUGUUUCUGCUGAGCUGCGGCAGGAACUCCAGAUCUUAAUUUGUGAUCUGAGUUGAAGACGGUGCCAUUUGUCAGUUGCUUUCGGAUUUUCGCUCGGGGUGUUUUCCCUGGGUAGAAAUUUUAUUUUUAUAGACAAACUUACUACUCUUUUCUCAUAUGCUGUGGGCUUGGGGUCGUGCUUAGCUCUUCUAAUUUCAGUCCUCAUGGUUUCUUCUUGUUCUCCUGAGGUUGCCUUGUUUGUGUUUGGUGUCUCUCUGAUACUGCCGAGACUUCCUCUGGAAUGAGAUGUGAGGUGGGGUUUCAGUCCUUCCCCCCUUUUUAAGAGCAGUCUUAGGAAUUCUUGAUUUCUUAGGUCUUUUUUGGAGAAAAACCUGUCAGCAGUUUUCUGCUGAACUCUGAGUGGUGCAGGCAUGGAUGGUGGUAUCCUGUGUAUUUUUUCAGUGUGAGCUGUAGUUAUCCGACCGGUGUUGACCUAAAAGUAAGGAGUGAGGCACCGUCUGUUGGUGAGCACUUUUAGUUAUUGAAGCAUAGUUGAUUUACAUGGUUGUGAUUUCUGCUGUAGUGACCAUUGUUUUGAAAUAAAUUUUGUAGAAUUUUCAGUUGGUAAAUAAAGACUAAGAUCAGUAAUAUAGGUGCAGUGGUAGCUAAGUACUAUUCUGUAGUGCACUUAAGGAACAUGUUUAGUGAGUGAUGUAAAACCAAAGUGAUAAAAGAUUUUACCCUCUGACUUCAGUGAGUUGUGUUUGAGGUCUCUUAGCUCCCUCGGUGAACGGCUGAUUGUGCCAAGUUAGUACGUGGGGCUUAACGGGCUUGAUUCUCCCAUCCGGUAGCCUCCCUUCACGGGCGCUCGCCUGGCGGAAGGAGGUCGGAAGGCCCUGCCUGCAGAGGGGAGGAUGCUUUGGGAUCACCCGCAUCGGGCUCUACGAAGGGCUCUCACUGCUUCGGCGCCUUUCUUCCCGUUUCCCUGUUGGCGCAUCUCUGCUUGUCGUUUCACCACGUGCUUAACCUUCUCAAGGAUCGGCAUGAGUCACUGUACGAACCCAUCAGAAAAUGCAAGCUGAGCCCGGAAGAAAGUUAGCCUAACAGCGGCCUCUUCCGAACCCGUCGGCUCUCGUGGGGAGGCUCUUCCACACAGACACUUAAGGGGCCAAGGCGGCGCCUCGCGGCCCUGCACGCUUGUUGUGUCUGUCUGUCUUGGUCUUUUCUCAGGUGCCACCCGGCACCUUUCUGCUCAGCCCUGCUGUCGUCUGUCUGACUUCUCACAUUUCCAGGAACCGUCGGGUUCCUUUUCCUUCCCUCUCCUUACAGCAGAGGGUCUCUUCCACGUGGUUCUCAGCAGCAGCAGCAGCUGCAGCACCUCAGACCCGGUGAAAAUGCAGAUCUCGCGGCCGCCCUCUCGAGCGUGGAGCCAGAAACUCCGAGGUGCGGCCCAGCCCUCUGUCCUACCAGCCAGUGGUGCUGAAGUUUGAGAACCACUGCCUUAUGGGGUCUCAUGGCCUCAUGGUGAACACUCGGAGUGCUGGCCAUUUAAUUUGUGGAUUAUGUUAAUAGCCAUGGAUCGAAUGCCUACUUAGUGCUGGGCGCUCAACCAGGUGUCUUCACACAGGUUGUCUGAUCCUUUCAGACACUUUGUGGAAUAGGGAGUGGGGUGUCCCACCUUCUGUAGAGACUGAGGAAGGGGAGCCUCUGAGCAGUGAAGUAAUUUGCCAGGGGCUCACGGCAGGUAAGUGGCCUCGGGAGAGUCCAGUGGGUUUCGCAGACUCCUGAGCCUGUGUGCUCUCUGCUGCACCACCCUGCCUUUCCUGUACGACCUUGUUCCCAAAGCGUUCAUGUGAGUAUGUGGCCGUCACGUGCUCAUGUCACAAAUGGUUGUAAUACCCGUUUCUGGACUUAUCCCCUCGUAUUCUUAGCCCAGUCUACUAAGCAACAACCUUUCAGCACUUUUUUCUUUCUUUUCGUCUUGUUUUUCGGGCCGCACCCGGGGCAUAUGGAGGUUCCUAGGCUAGGGGUCAAAUCAGAGCUGUAGCUGCCGGCCUACACCACAGCCACAGCAGAUCCAAGCAGCGGCUGCGACCUACACCACAGCCACAACAACGCCGCUUCGCCGACCCACUGAACAAGGCCAGGAAUCGAACCUGCAUCCUCGUGGAUACUAGUUGGAUUCAUUCCACUGUGCCGCAAAAGGAACUCUCUCUCUCUCUCUUUUUUUUUUAAUAUAGACACAAGCCAUUUUAUUUCCUUUUCUGAAUAGUCAUUUACUUAAGUAUAUCAGAGAAUUGGGAGGUGAAAGAGACUUUGCGAUCAUAGCCCAACCUCUGCAUUUUCACACGUGUCUAGUCAUCACAUUGUAUGUGCUACUCAAUAUAUUUGACCCAGAAAUCAACGUGUACUUUUGGUGAGGUAUACAUUGGGAUAUGACAUAGCUCUGGCCCUUGCACUUGUAGUAUUCUUAAAACUUGAAAAAAUUAUGCUACAUUGAAUUUGGAAAAGUUUUUUUUUUUUUGCCUAUUUGCCAUUUCUUGGGCUGCUCCCGCGGCAUAUGGAGGUUCCCAGGCUAGGGGUCAAAUCAGAGCUGCAGCCACCGGCCCACGCCAGAGCCACAGAAAUGCGGGAUCCGAGCCGCAUCUGCAACCUACACCACAACUUAUGGCAACGCCGGAUCCUUAACCCACUGAGCAAGGCCAGGGAGCAAACCUGCAACCUCAUGGUUCCUAGUCGGAUUUGUUAACCACUGAGCCGCAACGGGAACUCCGGAAAAGUUUUUAAUUGAUCAGAAAAAGUAAUUUUGCUGGCUUUGCUUUAGUCCAGCUGUGUUAUGAAAGUCAGCAAGUGCUAGCAGACUGAGCCCUGCUUUGAGCAGGGGGACAGCUGCCUCUGUGCAGCUCAGCAGUUAGGUGGUCGGCUCCUCUUACCAGGCCCUCCCUCCUCCUCGCCUUCUAACCUUCACCUCCCCCCCACGCAUUUUUGGACAGGCAACUAAAUCGGAAAAUAUAUUCAUUUUUCAAAUUCCUACCGGAAGUUAAAUGCUUGUUUCUAAGCUUACUCAUCGUACUUCUUGGUUUGAGUGCAUUUAACAAAUGCAAAUGGCUGUUAUUUACUUAAUAAUGCUAAUAGCACAAUGCUAAUAGCACUUUGUGUGGGUGCUAUUCCAGUCACAGUACUUUAACUCCUUUGUCCUCAAACACUGUGUGUAGUAGGAACUGUUUUGGUAUUUCCCUUUCCCCAUUUUGUGGAAGGGGUCGUGUAGAAAGAGAAAUAAGUUAAUCCAAGCUCACAGGGCAGGAGUGGUGGAACCCACAUCAAACCCAGGCAUCUGAGCUUCACAGUCUGUGCCCCUGAUGACUCCUCAGAGUGAUUCUGUACAAUGUGUCACUUUAGUUUUUUGAAAUGGUACCCUAUUCGGUGUUUUUGUUUUCCUGGGUUAGGGCCCGUGUAGAUUGUUAUGUGGGUUUGAAUAGAGAAAUAACUUAAGCCCCACCGCCUUUUUCCUUUUUUUUGGCUGCACCCUGAAGCACAUGGAAGUUACUGGAUCCGGGAUCAAAUCUGAGCUGCAGCUGCGACCUAUGCCACAACUGCAGCAACAUUAGAUCCUUAACCCAAUGCACCAGGCCAGGGAUUGAACCCGUGCCACCGCAGAGACAAUGCUGAGUCCUUAAACCGCUGCACCACAGUGGGUACUCCUUAAGCUGUCUAAAAAUGUCAAGUGAUUGAGUCAUUUACUAGGGACUCAGGCGGAAGAGCUGUGAUGAAGGCAGGUGGCCGUCUAGAUUGGGACAUCUCAGGUUUGAAAGCAGCCUCCUGGAGCCUUUCUCCGCCUUGACCUGCCCUGGGACAGACCCUGGCUGGGUCCCUGCUUUGCCAUGCUCUUCCUCCUCUGGGUCCUUGAGUGUGCCAUGGUUUCUUGCUGCCCAGCUGCACAUACGUGACUUGAGGUCUGAAAACUUUGUGAGAACAGCACAAGUACUUGGACUGGCUGUGGACAACAAGAUGUGGAGCUGCCAUGAUACUGUGUGUCCCUUCUAAUUUAAAGACAGUUGUAGUGGCAGUAAUCUAAGAGAGAGAAAUGGAGGCAAAAGGGCAGCUUUCCAUGGCACUCUAAAGACUGUCUUUCUGUAUAUGACCACUUACAAACUUCAAAUGCUGCUUGCGGGACCUGCUGGUAUUUGGAACCUCAGCCUUUGUCAUAACCAUACGUACCACCUAGCUGAGCUACUGGCCUGCAUUUCUUAGCUUUCAGUGUCUAUGCGGCUUAGCUUAAACUUGCUACCUAUUGAUGCUUCCUUCUUAUAUCUGCAUACAUCCCUACUGGCCAGAAUUUUAUUAGUGGGCAUUUGGCUUGGCUGCAGAGGAAGGAUUUUCUGGAAGGCAGUCAGGAGCUUUGGAGAGAGCUGUGGGAGUACGCGCUGGCCUUAGUUGCUGAGGACACAGCCAGAUCCAGAACUUGGGGUUAUCAAGAGGUGGGCAGCUUGUUCCUCCCCAUGCAGUUCUCCUUCCUCCCUUCUCAGCCCGAAGAAGGCUGGCAGCAGUUGGCAUUUGGCACCAACUAAAUGUGUGUCAUUUCAUUUAGGCCAAGCUUGAUGAGUUUUUCAGAGUCUUCUGUAUUUCCUUACUCUGUUAUAAAGUAAUCUCAGGUUCUGACAACUAGUUGUUAUUGUCUGAUGUAAAAGCAAGAAGAGCACAGGUGAAAGGAAAAGAGACAGAAACGAGGCCUCUGGGUUAGGCUGCUUGACUGCUUUUCCUGGGUAGAGCGCACCUUGUCGGGAAGGAGUUAGAGCUCCAGGUUUAGUUGUAUGAAUUGAUUUGUUAUUUUAGACAGUUCGGUUUUAAGCUGCAGCAUCUUGAGAGCAAAUGUAACUUUUUAUUUUAUUUUUUUGGUCAUUUCUUGGGCCACUCUCGUGGCAUAUGGAGGUUCCCAGGCUAGGGGUUGAAUCGGAGCUGUAGCCGCCGGCCUACACCACAGCCACAGCAACUCGGGAUCCAAGCCACGUCUGCAAACCCACACCACAGCUCAUGGCAACGCCGAUCCUUAACCCAUUGAGCAAGGCCUGGGAUCGAACCUGCAGCCUCAUGGUUCCUAGUCAGAUUCGUUAACCACUGAGCCACAACGGGAACUCCGCAAAUGUGACUUUUUAAAAGCUCCAGAUCUGUCUUCUGCUUCCAUGAACAUGAGACUUAGGUUACCUGUAUUCGUAUAAGACCAUUGUAUAUAGAGAAAAUCUGUUACAGAAUUAUUCAUACUGAGAAAGGAGUUGCUUCUUCAGUCCACUUCUUUGUGAAUAGCUUUAUAUUUAACUUUUUAAGCUGAUAGUUGCAAGUUUUGAAUUACGCAUGUUUUAUUAUAUGAGAUAAUGAAUGAUAAAUGCUUAGAGUGAAGCAAAUGUGUGAUUGUUGCCAAGUGCUAACUUUUGGAUUAUGGUUGAUCUCAGCCUUCGGCUGGGAACUGCUUGUUCAGCUAGUUGGCCUGCUAACCUACAUUUAAAAUACAGUCCUGUCCCCACUGAGACUACGGAUACAAUACUGUCCCUCUUGAGCCCAGUAUUUUUAUUUCAGGCCUCAUGAUUUUAAAUGUUAAAAUAUUACUGAAUGCCAAAGAACGAAUUCCUCCGUGUAACCUUUUUAGCUACUUCUUCUGGAUUGAGGGUAAUUUAGGGCAUGGAAGCGUGGGAUUGAUGAUAAAUUUGGAGUUCAGUUCUUGUGAGAAUUUUAGAUCUACAUUUGAGGGAAAAUUGGGAGGUAAACUUGGAACAGAUGAAAUGUCCCAGCUAGGACGCUGGGAAAUGUUCUCUCUCUCUGCCACUGUAGCAAAUUAGGAGACACGGUGCUUGCUUCCCACGCCGCAGUCCUGUUUGCAGAGUGAAACCAGAGAACCAGCCAUGGCCUCCUUCUCUGUCCCCAAAUGGCUGGCUUCUUUAAAGAAUUUUCCUUCCUCAUCUCAUUGAGUGACAUCACUAGUGCCACAGAAACAUUAAUAACAGACUCCAGCAGCCCUGAUUGGUGUGAAAUCUAGGAUUUGGCCAGUUCAGAAUAUGGUGUCGUGUGUGGUGGUGUGUGCGUCCUUCCUGCUCCUGCGUUCACGUGGUCUGGCCUGACUUUCCUUUCGUGGUGAACUUCACUGUUGGUCCACAAGGCAUGUAUUUUUCUGUGACCCUGUGCUAGGCCAUGGUGUGCCUUUAAACUACCAGAAUAAUUUUCAAAUAGUUUCAGUCUUUUUUUUUUUUUUUUUUUUUGGCCUACAUUUUCUUUUUCAUUUAAGAAGUAUGUAAUUGGAGUUCCUGUUGUGGCCCAGCGGAAAUGAACCUGACUAGCAUCCAUGAGGACGCAGGUUCAAUCUCUGGUCCUGCUCAGUGGGUUAAGGAUCCUGUGUCGCCGUGAGCUGUGGUGUUAGGUCGCAGACACGGCCCGGAUCUUGUGUUGCUGUGGCUGUGGUGUAGGCCAGCAGCUGCUGCUCCUAUUUGACCCCUAGCCUGGGAACCUCCAUAUGCUGCGGGUGUGGCCCUAAAAAGACAAUAAGUAAAUGAAUAAAUAGUAUAUAAUUAUUGAGGAAAAGUAGAAGAUUGGGAUAGGCAAGACAUUGUCACUUAAAUGUUAACCCCCAUUUAAUAACCACUUUUAAUACUUUUGUGGCUCUCCCCUCUGAUUGUUCUCUUAUACCCAUUUAUCUGCAUAAACCUGUUUCUUUUCCCAAGAACAAGAUUUUCUCUUACGUAACCACCACGCAUUUAUCACAAUCAAAAGUAUCACAUUGAUCUCAUCUGCAGUUCACAUUAAAAUGUCACCAUUCACCUUGUUGUCCUUUAAUGGCCGUUUCCCCCUGGUUAGGAGCCGUCCAGGCUCAUACAUUACAAUUAGUUGCAGGCUCUUUCGUCUCAUUCAGUCUGGACCUGUUCUUUAGUCUCUUCUUUCAUGACCUUGGCAUCUUAAAGAGUUCAGAGCAGUUGUUUUGCAUCUCUCAGUUUGGAUUUGUUUGAUAUUUUUGUGAUUAGAUUCCUAGCCUGCAGUCGAGGGGCUACCGCAGAGCCGUCUUGAGUGGCGGCAGGGGAAGCUGCUCUGCCCCAGGUCAUGUGGGCGAUGUUAGUUUAGCAUCGAUUAACAUUGGGUUUGCUAAAUUAAUCCAUGUAAAAUUCCACUUUCUCUUUGUAAUCAGUACAUAGUUUGAGGAGGGAUGCUUUGAGACUACGUAGAUAUCUUGUUUCUCAUCAGACCGUCAUCUACUCUUUGUAGCAUCCAUGGAUGAUUUUCGGCUGAAUCACUUAUUACCGUAUUACUCUGAUGAUUGUAAAAUGGUGGUUUUCAAACUCCGUUAAUUUUCCUUCUAUAUUUAUUAGGUGUUAGUCUACUGCAGAGGAAAGCUGUCUUUCCCUCCCCAUUUAUUGAUAUUAGUGUGCACUCCGAUUCUUAUUUAGUCCAUGGCAAUUCUAUGGUAUUGUUUUAUGUUUAAAUUGUUUCGUGUUUGACCAGUGGUCGUCCCUCUGCUUUGCCCCCUGAGUCUUUUGGACCCAACUUCAGUAAUCUUUGAUAGCUUUCUUACUCAGAGGUAUUAAAAAGUAUUCUAGAUUCGUCUUGUCCAUUUCCUGCCCCAUACCUGAUAGCAAGUAUAUAGGAGCCUUGAUGACUUUAAGCAGCAAAUGCUCUGGGCACUAGGGGUUCCUAUUGCCAUUGAGUCAUUGCUGUCAUACCUUUUUACUGGACAGAGCUAGAAAAAAAGAGAAAAAAAAA